CUAUCCCAUAGGUUGGGGUCAGGCUUCUUGUAAACCUGUAUUGUCUCAACAUCAGCAGGGUUUGCCAUUUUCCAUCGGCAUAGUGGAUGAGGAACUCGAUGACGAGUAUACUGACUCACAGUCUGGUUGCCGGAAGAAUCCAUUUUUGCGCUUGACAUGUAAAAUACAAAAGGCUUUUGACACGGGUUACGCAUCACAGGCCUUGUGUUAAAAGCAUAUGCUUUGUAAUCUGCUCUUCUAUACCAGUUUAAGAAAGUCCUUGAUGGCAUUUCUAUUUCACGGGGAGACAGAACUCCACGGAAUAUUUGUACUGCAAAUCCCCACGACACUGAAAUAGUCCAACUAUUAACUUUUUCAUAGCAAAUGGAUUGCUGCAUAAUACCAGCUGAGUCGAGUUUCAUUGGCACUGUAAGCUGCUUCAAAGCCUGCACUUGAGUCACAUUGGGAAAGAUUGGCUCCACCACAUCAAGAUGGUGCAACGAUACCAAUGGUGCAACAGGAUGUGAUGCUAGCAACCCAAAUAAGUUCCCGUACACAUCGUACUGCAUUCCCAUCCACCAACAACAAAUCUUAGUCAGAUUGAAUGGAACAGUCUUUCAUGACUGAAAAAAUAGCCAUUUUAAAUAUCUAACUAUAACUAAGCUACAGUCCGCAAUCACUUCUUCCACAAGCAUGUGCAAAUACCAAAAUGCCGUAAAAAAGAAUAAAUAAAAUCUACCAUAUUCAUGGCAAGAGGUCAUGUAUGCUUGCUAUGCUCGCAUCAGGCAGUCGAAUGGAUACUCCAUUAUGCCGUUAAUCAAACAUACAAUCAGAGGUAGCAGCACUCACACCGAUCCAAUGAACGAAUCACAUUCCACAUCAUUAUUUCUAGAAUUUAAUUCAUUUGUGUAAAUAUAUUAACGGGACAAUUUCGCCUGAAUACUCAAGGAGAAAAAGAAAAAACACACAUUCUAAAACCAUUAUUUCAUGACAACCAAUUAGCUGAAAUCUGAUAUGAAACAGACUCCUCUGUUUUCUUUUUUGGUGUGAGCUCACAUAAAUAAAGUUAUCUUUAAAACGCUUUUGCUCAAUUAACACUUAUGAAUAAAAGGGCAAUGCUGCAACGGUAUAAAAUACUCCACGCCUCUACGAGUACCCUUUUGGCAAAAGAGUAGUUCAUCCCAUUGUUACUCACAAACAACUCGCAUUGUUAAAAUAAGUAGGCUAAAGUACUAACUAUUCAGAAUAAGCUGGCCAAAUUCAAGAAACCAACAAGUUCUACAUUUUCAGGUAAUAACUAUAUACUUACUCCCACAUUAAAAACCAAUAACGGAUAAUCAGUGCGGUAAAAAGAAAGGUGUAAUUAACAAA
rnacentral:lncRNA from 1 species